rnacentral:rRNA from 1 species
UACGAAGGGGGCUAGCGUUGUUCGGAUUUACUGGGCGUAAAGCGCACGUAGGCGGAUCGUUAAGUCGGGGGUGAAAUCCUGGAGCUCAACUCCAGAACUGCCUUCGAUACUGGCGAUCUUGAGUCCGGAAGAGGUGAGUGGAACUCCUAGUGUAGAGGUGGAAUUCGAAGAUAUUAGGAAGAACACCAGUGGCGAAGGCGGCUCACUGGUCCGGUACUGACGCUGAGGUGCGAAAGCGUGGGGAGCAAACAGG